rnacentral:rRNA from 1 species
GGUUGCGAUCAUACCAGCACUAACGCACCGGAUCCCAUCAGAACUCCGCAGUUAAGCGUGCUUGGGCGAGAGUAGUACUAGGAUGGGUGACCCCCUGGGAAGUCCUCGUGUUGCAACCC